CUGGAGCCCACUUCAGAAAUUCUCACUUCUACUUGUCUUCGAAAAGUGGCUCUUCCCUUCUGUGGAGAAAGCAGUUACUAGGACAUUAUAAAAUUGCCCCACCAGGGAUUGGUGGUUCUAAGUCCCAGGAUGUGAAAAUAAAUAGGAGAUUUGUUCAAGUCUCCUGGUAGCUGGAGAAGAAAUGGCUCUCUCAACUCCCAGUUGAGGGCAAUAACAAUGAAUGUUCUCUUGGGAAGAAAAAAUUUUUACUUGGAGAGAAGUAACUCCAUUCCAAGGCCUGGAUACACACUGUGUGGCAGGCUUUGCCUGGGUCUGUACCUGUGUGUGAAUGCAAACACCUUUCAUCAUUAUCUCCCAGAAAAGAAAGAUCUUUCUCCGUAUCUUCUGAAAAAAAAAAAAAAAAAACACAAUAUAGAGAAAUUUUUAAGAUUCCAAAAAUCCUAAUAAUCAUCAGAGUUGAGCAAUAUUGUAAAUACAUCCUUUAACUUCUAUUGAGAAAAACAGCAGUAUAUGUGAAACUAGAAAAAUAAUUUUUAUAAUUCUAACAAUAUAUACAGCUGAUUUUCCAUCUCUUCAGAAACAAAGACUCUUAGCCAAUUUCCUAGUCUGCUGUAGAUCCUCCCACUAAAACAGAGUGCUGUACUUAGACAUGAAAAGAAGUUGUAAAACCUCCCUUUUAAAAAUUCAAAUAGACCGCCAGUUCAUCUUGAAUGACGUAAGGCAGAAAGCAGGAAAGGGUAAGAGAAAUAAGCAGGAAAGGGUAAGAGAAAUGGAGAGUAUCACUGUUCUUAAGUUCAGCAAAACUGACCUUGCCCAAGCAAAAGGAAUGGCUCCAGAAUCAAGUUAAUGGUGGCAAAAGAAGUUACCCAAAGAGUGCAGACUAAAAAAAAGCCUGAAGGCACAUGUGCACACAAUUGGCUCAUAAACCACCACCUGAUCUAAGCCAUGAAAGCAAGCAAGACUGGACUACCCCUUCCUGCGUCUCAAUGACAUCCUCUGCUCACAAGCUUAAUGGUUCCCUUGUUCCCUCAAGGCCAACAGUCACAGUUCCUUCAGUCUCGGGACCUGUGGGUGCUGGGGACAGGAGAGAGCACAGUGUAACCCUCCUUGGAUGAAUGCCUCCAGAAGUGGUUGUUUCGUGCCCUCCCCAGCAAUGCCUUUUUCUGGCUGGUAGUGACUGGGAAGGGGAUUGAUGACAAGCACAAAAAUAGAACUGCCCAGAAAGGAACACGAAGCUCCAUGAUGGCUCUCAUAAAGCUGCCUGAAAAACAUUCUAUCUGGUAACCACUUCCACUCAUGCCAGUGGAAUUAAAGUCUCUGCUAAAAUAGAAGGAAAUAUUUUUUUUUAAAAUGUAACUAAUAUGUUUCUUUAUUAUUUAACCUUAUGAAAACACAGUGAAAAAGUCAAGAAAAAGAUAAUGCAAAUUUUCCCAUUUUGCAGAUAAAGGAAUGAACCCACCUAAGUGGAGAUUUGCCUAAUAUUACUCAUAUAGUAAGUGGCACAGCCAAGACUCAAGUCAGUGACAGCUCCAAGGUACAUGUUCUUUCUUCAAACUUGUCAGCUGAGGAAGAGGUAGGUAGGAUCUUGGGGAGGAGCAAUGAGUUGGUAUGUGAUGAGGCAUUUGGCAACAGCCCUGUCCUGAAGGCCCAGAAGCCAUCUCUACAUCCUUUCCUGUGCUGAGGUUCUAAUAUUUAACAUAACGUUUCAUUUCUAGAUGUUAGUAAGUUUUAUUACCUCUGUGUUACAUUUUAUUGAAUAAUAUUUGCCUAUAAAUUUUAUUUGGGAUGAUGUAAUUUAUUAAAUUAUUUGAGGAUGAGC
rnacentral:lncRNA from 10 species